UCUGGAUGGAAGAUAGGAAAAUUUCAAUUUUAGCCUAUGGUUCACCUAUGACUAAAAGUAGUGAAGCUAAAGAGAACAUGUAAAUUAGAAAUCAGAUGAUCCCCCACUCUACACAGAAAAAAAAAAAACUGCAUCUUAACCACUCCCCUCCCAGUCUUAACCAGUUUGGGUUUAACAUACUUCCUUCCCCUGUCACUGUUAGUGCUACCAAAGGAUCACUGGGAAAAGGAAUGUUAAAGACGUGAUUAGCCUUCAAAUUAGCCAACCAAUACCAGAAGAUGGAGAGGGGCCCACCAAGUCUUCCUUUCACCAAAUCCCUGAAUGACUAACUACUCUGUCGGUUCUGUCUAGGUGUUUAUGUCUAUCCUUUGACCUAUAGGCUCCUGAGGAACCACAGUAAUAUCUUCCUUCUUUAAGGAUGUAUACCAAGUAUAAGGUGUAUUAACUGAAUACGUUCAACGAUCAUGCCAUACUACUUGGUAUCAUAAU